GACAGAGGGGGCAAGCGUUGCUCGGAAUUACUGGGCGUAAAGGGCGCGUAGGCGGGAUGGCAAGUCGGUCGUGAAAUCCCUCGGCUCAACUGAGGAUCGUCGAUCGAUACUGCCGUUCUUGAGGAUUGCAGAGGAGACUGGAAUUCCCGGUGUAGCGGUGAAAUGUGUAGAGAUCGGGAGGAACACCGGUGGCGAAGGCGGUUCUCUGGGACGGUACUGACGCUGAGACGCGAAAGCGUGGGGAGCGAACAGG
rnacentral:rRNA from 1 species